CUCGAGCCAUUCUACUCGGGCAAGAGAAGGAGAGGCGCUGGCAAAUUAGAGCUAAGUGGGGCAAUGGGGAAGCAGAUUCAAGAGCAUGUGGAGGAUGGCGCAGGUACUUCUCUCUGUUGGCGAUGCUACUCCGUUGAUGCUCUUCUUGUGAUGUGGCAAGACAUGUGGGGGAGAAUCCUUUUACUGCGGAUGGAGAAAAGAGAUGAGAAGUGAGAUUCUAGAGGUGUGCUCGAGUAGAAUGGCAGAAAGGAAAGGGAUCCAGCUGACACUAACGGAUUGCAGGGAAGGCCAGUUA